rnacentral:rRNA from 1 species
AGCGAACGCUGGCGGCAUGCUUAACACAUGCAAGUCGCGCGGGUGGUUUCGGCCAUCAGCGGCGGACGGGUGAGUAUCGCGUAGGAAUGUAUCCCGAGGUGGGGGACAACCCUGGGAAACUGGGGCUAAUACCGCAUGGGGCCUGUGGGUCAAAGCCUUAGGGCGCCUUGGGAGCAGCCUGCGUCCGAUUAGGUAGUUGGUGGGGUAAAGGCCUACCAAGCCUGCGAUCGGUAGCUGGUCUGAGAGGACGAUCAGCCACACUGGGACUGAGACACGGCCCAGACUCCUACGUGAGGCAGCAGUGGGGAAUAUUGGACAAUGGGCGCAAGCCUGAUCCAGCAAUGCCGCGUGGGUGAAGAAGGUCUUCGGAUUGUAAAGCCCUUUCGGCGGGGACGAUGAUGACGGUACCCGCAGAAGAAGCCCCGGCUAACUUCGUG